AUUGAACGCUGGCGGAAUGCUUACACAUGCAAGUCGAGCGGCAGCACGGGGGCAACCCUGGUGGCGAGCGGCGAACGGGUGAGUAAUACAUCGGAACAUGCCCAGUCGUGGGGGAUAACACUUCGAAAGAAGUGCUAAUACCGCAUACGUCCUGAGGGAGAAAGCGGGGGAUCUUCGGACCUCGCGCGAUUGGAGUGGCCGAUGUCAGAUUAGCUAGUUGGUGGGGUAAAGGCCUACCAAGGCAACGAUCUGUAGCUGGUCUGAGAGGAUGAUCAGCCACACUGGGACUGAGACACGGCCCAGGCUCCUACGGGAGGCAGCAGUGGGGAAUUUUGGACAAUGGGGGCAACCCUGAUCCAGCCAUUCCGCGUGAGUGAAGAAGGCCUUCGGGUUGUAAAGCUCUUUCGGCAGGAACGAAACGGCGAGCUCUAACAUAGCUUGCUAAUGACGGUACCUGAAGAAGAAGCACCGGCUAACUACGUGCCAGCAGCCGCGGUAACAC
rnacentral:rRNA from 1 species